rnacentral:tRNA from 1 species
AAGCAAUUAACUCAAAGGUAGAGUAUUUCAUUUACACUGAAGAAGUUAAAGGUUCGAAUCCUUUAUUGCUUA